UUUGACAAAGUUAGCUACUUUCGC
rnacentral:siRNA from 1 species